GUUAAGGUAUUGUGAUUGUUAUAAAAUAAAUUAAGGAAGUCCAAAUUUAAAAAAUUAUUGGGUAAAUGUUGGCAAUAAAUUAAGGAAGUCCAAAUUGAAAGCUCAUAUACAUAGCCCAAACUGAGUAUUGUUUAUGGCCUAUUUACAAGAAAUAUUGGUAGCCCACAUACGAAACUAUUAACCCAAAAUCCCUAGCAAACCAGUUACACCCUCAGCCUGUAGCCCAUUUACACCCUACCCUUGACACUAACCCGUAACCCAGCUAAAUUACCCUAUACCAGUUACAACCUUAACCCAAAACUUAAUGACCCAAACAGACCCAGGACUAAAGUGGCCCAACUGGCCCAAACUAUUACACCAAGGCAGGAAACCCUAGUGUUUCUGCCUUCUUUCUCCUUGAGCUACCACUGAUUCUGGAAGGUUUAGGGAGCGUCUGUCCAGCUCCCGAAUCGAGGCCACCAUCGAUCAUUCCCCUAUCAAUGCUUCUUCAGCGACUUUUCAGUGUAUCAUCCCAAUUACGAUGCUUCAGUUGCCCACCAUCGACUCCGUGAUUCCAGGCCUCAGAUCAGGCCGUAGUUGAAGUCAAAUUAACGCUUGUUCUAUCAAAAGAGUCCGAUGCCUACAAGCAAAAAAAGGAAACCAACAAAAAAGGCAAGAAACAAACAGUAGAGAAUAAAAAUAAAAAUGGAAAGAAAUCUUCGAUUUCUUUCCUAAAAUUGUAAAAGUCUGACGCUAUAAAGCCCCUCUUUAAAACGAACUUACGGGGGGACUCACACUGAAAAAAAAAAGAGAAAGAUACAGAAAGUACAUUGAUAAAGGCUUGCAUAUAGAAACAGAGAAAAACAAAAAAGAGAGAUACAUAGAUUUACACACUCAGAAAGAGAAAAGUUGUAUUCAUUUGAAACAGAGAAAUAAAAAAAAGGGGCAGUUUCCUAUUUUUGAGGUAAUCGAAUCGUUUUUGUUUGCUUUAUUUUUACUCAUCUGUUCGUCUUCUUGCAUGUAUAUAUAGUUUUUUUUUUAAAAAUAACUAAAGAAAGCAAAAGGGAAGAAGAGAUUACCUGUCGAUUGGCGAAGGAAAGGAGGAUUUAUUUUUUACCCUAGCCACCGUGUACAGUGGCCCAGAAGGUGGCGCAUGAGAAGGUCCGAUGACCAGAGCUAUGACGGCCUUUGGUCGGAGCUCAGAGGACUCUUCAGAGUUUUUUUUUGUUUUUUUAAAAAAGAGGUAGUUUAAAAU
rnacentral:lncRNA from 1 species